UCCUCAUUGAAUUAUAUGAGGUAUAACCUGCUCAAUGCAAAAAGUAAAUAGCCGCAGUAUUCUGACUGUGCAAAGGUAGCAUAAUAAAUUGGCCUUUAAUUGGGGUCUGGAAUGAACGGUUUGACAAGGAUUUAACUGUCUCAUUAUUAAAUUUUUGAAGUUGAAUUGUUUGUAAAAAUGCAAACAUUUGAGAGAGGGACGAGAAGACCCUAUAGAUCUUUAAAGAAUAGAUUGAAAAAGUUUAAUUGAUUCUUUUUAUUUGGGGAAAAUCCUGAAAUAAAUUAAUUUUUAUUUAAACUUCGGUUAAUAUAUAAAAAAUUUAAUAAUUGAAAUUUGAUCCACAAAGGUGAAAAGAUGAAAAAGUUACCUUAGGGAUAACAGGACAAUGAUCCUUUAUCAGAGACCCUAUCUUAAAGGACGUUUGUUACCUCGAUGUUGAAUUAAGUUAUCUAAUAUGAAGGAGAAAUUUUUAAAGUUGGUCUGUUCGACCAUUAAAAAC
rnacentral:rRNA from 1 species